AGUGAACGCUGGCGGUAGGCCUAACACAUGCAAGUCGAACGGCAGCACAGUAAGAGCUUGCUCUUACGGGUGGCGAGUGGCGGACGGGUGAGGAAUACACCGGAUCCUCCUUUUUCGUGGGGGUUACGGUAGGGAACCUUACGCAAUUACCCCUUCCACCUUCGGGGUGAAGCAGGGGAAUUUUCGACCUUUCCGGGUUUAAUUGACCGAUGUCGGAUUAGCUAGUUGGCGGGGUAAAGGCCCACCAAGGCGACGAUCCGUAGCUGGUCUGAGAGGAUGAUCAGCCACACUGGAACUGAGACACGGUCCAGACUCCUACGGGAGGCAGCAGUGGGGAAUAUUGGACAAUGGGCGCAAGCCUGAUCCAGCCAUACCGCGUGGGUGAAGAAGGCCUUCGGGUUGUAAAGCCCUUUUGUUGGGAAAGAAAAGCAGCAGGUUAAUACCCCGCUGUUCUGACGGUACCCAAAGAAUAAGCACCGGCUAACUUCGUG
rnacentral:rRNA from 1 species